UGAUGGUGGUGGGGGUAUAGCUAGAGGAAAGCAGUUCUCACAACUCCCAGCCUAUGAGCUCCCCUACCUGGCUUGCUGACUGGAUCAUUUCCUUGAUGGCCAGUUUCAAACAGCUCAUUCUGCCCUCUUACCUCAAGAGGCUCCCAGUGCCAAUAGCCCAUUCAGAUGGUUGUUUGAAAUCUCUUUUCUCAUUGGCUCAGAUUCCCAACUUUCCCUCGCUUUAGCGUCUGCCCCAGCCCCCUUAGAGAAUGCUCUUCCCUCUUUAUACUUCAUCAUGGUUGCCGUGUCAUAGCUUCUGCUGUCAUAUGGAGGGAGAGUGCUUGUAUAUCUUAUAACUGGAAGUUUGUACCUUUCUUGACUGUCUUCUUCAGUCUCCCCUUCUCCAGCCCCAUACUGCUGCUGAUACUGUGCAGGCCCACUGGACUUUCAGACUUGCCCAGGAAGCAUACCAGUUUCUUGCCUGUGAGCACAUCAACCCAGUCUUUAAAAAAAUGACUAAAAGAAUUGAUUACAAAGGAUCUGCUUAUUCAAUAGCUCAACAAGGGGAAGAUUGCUGCUGCUGCUGCUGCUAAGUUGCUUCAGUCAUGUCCGACUCUGUGCGACCCCAUAGACGGCAGCCCACCAGGCUCCCCCGUCCCUGGGAUUCUUCAGGCAAGAACACUGGAGUGGGUUGCCAUUUCCUUCUCCAGUGCAUGAAAGUGAAAAGUGAAAGUGAAGUUGCUCAGUCGUGUCUGACUCUUAGCGACCCCAUGAAUUGCAGCCUACAGGCUCUUCUGUCCAUGGGAUUCUCCAGGUGAGACUACUGGAGUGGGGUGCCAUUGCCUCCUCCAAAGGGGAAGAUUAAUGCCUUUAAAAUCCAAUGUUAUCUAAGGGUCUAGUCAAAGUUAUUAUUUGCCACUGUUGCUGCUGCUGCUGCUGCUGAGUCACUUCAGUCGUGUCCGACUCUGUGCGACUCCACAGACGGCAGCCCACCAGGCUCCCCCGUCCCUGGGAUUCUCCAGGCAAGAACACUGGAGUGGGUUGCCAUUUCCUUCUCCAGUGCAUGAAAGUGAAGAGUGAAAGUGAAGUCGCUCAGUCAUGUCUGACUCUCAGCGACCCCAUGGACUGCAGCCUACCAGGCUCCUCCGUCCAUGGGAUUUUCCAGGCAAGAGUACUGGAGUGGGGUGCCAUUGCCUUCUCCGUUGCC
ensembl:lncRNA